GUGGUCACCUUUCCCAAGGCAGAGCUCCAGCCUUGCCCUACGGAAGGGUCCUGCUGGGAAAACUACCCCUCCACCCUCAACGGAAAAAGCAGCUGGUUGAAGCCCAGAGGAAAUUCCAGAAUCUUAAAAGCCGUUGCUGGAGAGGCUUCAGGCUCGAGGGGGCUGCCGCCCUCACGUUACAGGAAAAAGAAAGUAACUCAGCGGCGCCGAGAGCUUAAGCCUCACCCGGCAGACGCGGAGCCAGAUCCCGGGGCCAGGGAGCAAUGUCCUCAUCCGCAAGCCAGCUCCCGGGGAGAGGAAGCCACUGAGAAGCCAGCCGGCCCCUGGAGCUUCGGGGACCCUCCCUUUCCUCAAGAGAGAGAAUGAGCCAGAGAAGGGCAGAGAGAAGAAGAGAGAGAGAAAAUCCGAAGCAGGCUCAAGACCGUCAGUGCGGAGCCCAACGCGGGGCUCGAACUCCCGAACCCGUGAGGCCCUGACCUGGGCCGAAACCAAGAACUUGAUGCUCAAGCGGCUGAGCCGCCCGGGUGUCCCAUGGAGCUCUUCUGACCUCACCCCUACACCCUCUCCACCACCCUCGCCGCGCACCCCGAGUUUUCAAGAACAUGACCGUAAACAAGGUGAAACUACGCCCCCAAAGCCCCCCUCCCCCCGCCACGGCGAGAAAGCAGAAAGGGGCAGAGCUUCGUACGAAUCCACCCCGUCGCUAGGGACACGGACCGGCUGCCAGGGGCAAACGCUUGGCACUCACUGCUCCCUGGGCCCCAGAGCCACACGCACUCCGUGCGCGGACCCCCAAGUUCCAGCUUCUUGCCUUCAAACAGCUGAUGGUGGCAAAUACCAAACAAACAAACAAGAUAUAAAACGAAAUAAAACGUGCCCUCCCCUACAUUUAUCUCCUUCCACCCCCAAAAGCCCGUGAGGCAAUGCCAUUCUGCCCCCCCCCCCCCCCCCGUACAGAUAAGGAAACCAAGGCCACGGAGCCAGGAAGUCAAGGAAUGGGAAACCACGCAGCUGGAUUCCAGAAGCGGCAACAUUCAUGCCAUCCUGCCUCUCCAAACACACCCUGACCAGACACCUGACCUGCCUCUCCCCACAGCGGCCCAGUGGCACAGCCCCGGGCCUCUCGCAGCGCCCCCUCCAGUGCCCACGCGAGGAAGGAAGAAGGGCCCCUGAGCGAGAAGACAGCGUUACCAGUUCGGCAAAGGGUGACAGGGACACCUGUCCUCGUCCAGGGCC